rnacentral:lncRNA from 1 species
UAAAAAGUUUCUAUCCACAGGUGCCUACUGAAUCACCUUUGAGACCACCCCAGCAGGUCUGGAGAAUCUUAUUGCAGUCUGGGGAAGGGAGGAGUCUAUGCUGCCCACUCUGCCUUGGAUGGUGGGGUGUUCAAUAAUAAAAGGUCCAGCUGCCGGGACAAUACUCAGCCAUGAUCAGGACUGCCCAGCUUCUGGCCUAGACGAAGUGACCUUAGCCAACCCCUGUGAAAGGGCUGUUCAAGCCCCCAAAGGGCUCAUGACCCACAGUUUGAGAAGCACUGGUCUAAGAAGAUACAUGCAGAGGAGAUACGAGGAUCCUUACAGUGGGAACGACGUAACAGAGAUUGCUGAUGGGGAUUAGAACACAUGCCCAGAAUCCAUAAGAGUAUAAAGGAAGAUCUCAGUGCCGGGGCAGGCUACCUUUCUGUGAGCUGCUGGCCAGAGAGUACACUGAGGCCCUCCAAACAGCAUCAGCUAUUGAUACUGUUACUCUCGUUCUCCAGAACAAGAUGAACCAACAGCUACCCCAGGCCAGAUCUUCACCAGUCCUCCAGGAGACAAGAGCAGGCUUCCAGCACCAGAUUGAUGGCUGAUGAGGACAGACACAGGACAUCUAUCAGACAAGAGCUACAAAGGCAUCUAUCUGCCAGUCCAAACAGCUCAGUGUGAAGGACUCCCAGUCAUUGUCCAACAACCAGGUGAUAGGCCUGGCUGCCAGGCAAGUGCAGUGUCUGUGAAAGGCACACUAUAAGCAACUGAACGUAGAUCUUUUUCCUUGCCCUUAGGGCAGAGUGCUGGCUGCCCUGGUGCUCCAAGUCAAUCAAUGACAAAGAUCUCCACAGUGUUUAUUAGCUGCAUCUUCUAAAUCCCCUCCCCUUUGGGAAGGCAUCUUUGCUGGCAGUCUGUAGCAUCACUUUGUGCAAACUUCUGCUGCCAGGCCGUGGUCCCACCUUUCCACUGAAACUCAGAACAAAUUCCCCUGCCACGACGAUGACCGCCUUGUGGCUGUAGAUGCAGUCCUUUGGGCCACGCAGAACAUUAUGGCUUACAGAAGGUCCUCCAUCCAUGCUUUUACUGACUCUUGGAGAGUCACAAACGAAUUAUGUGUUUGAUCAACCCAGUAGCAUGGAGAGAGAGAAAUCCUUACCCAGGCCCAUCUUUGUGGGAUGCCUCCAUCUGAAAAGAGGUGGCCAAAUGGCCAAUCAUAAUGACUAGAUGGAGUGAAGAAAAGUUACAUGGUCGCAACUGGGAGCUGGAAAGUGCCGCAGACGUGGGUGGACCAGAGCAUAGUGCAAUGGAUAUCCCUGGAGAGUCAGCCUUGCAGGUAAACGUUUGUCUUCAGAGUGGCAAUGUUAGUGCGAGCCAAGGCUUAUAGCCUUUAUGAUACUCCAGGAGACAAGUGCUUCUUUAUACAGGUGGACAAUUCCCU